rnacentral:lncRNA from 1 species
GCUAUAUAGUCUGAAUGUUAGUAUCUUCCCAAAAUUCAUAGGUUGAAAAUCUAACACUCAAGGUGACGGUAUUAGGAGGUGAGGACUUUGGGAGGUGAUUAGGUCAUAAAGGCAGAGCCCUCAUGAAUGGAAUUAGUGCCCUUAUAAAAGAGGCCUGAUAGAGACCCCCUAGCUCCUUCUACCAGGACAUAGGUAGAAGGUGCCAUCUAUGAACCAGAAAGCAGAUCCUCACCCCUCACCAGACACCAAAUCUGCCAGUGCCUUGAGUUCGGACUUCCUAGCCUCUAGAACUGUGAGAAAUUUCUGGGCAAAGAAGGACUUCCAUUCAUUGUUUUGGUGUAUAGCAUAGCCUUUUUGAGCCUUUCUUCAGCUUCAUGAUGUGACCAGAACCACGUGAGCAUUCCAAGAGCAGACACACCCCAUUUACAGAUAAGAGCACCCUCCUUGCCUUGUUUACAAAGCUCUUCAGUAUGCUAUAUACACUUGGCUUGACUUUUGGCCACAAUAGCAAACUAAAAUGAUCUCUUGAGAGAGCUGGUAUUAAAAACUACUCAGCAUGGUGUAGUUGUAAUUGUUUACCCCAAGAAAUAUCACCUUAGGCUGGGUACAGUAGCUCAUGCCUAUAAUCCCAGUACUUUAGGAGGCCAAGGUGGGUACAUCACCUAAGGUCUGGAGCUUAAGACCAGCUUGGUCAACAU